UACGGAAGGGUGCAAGCGUUACUCGGAAUUACUGGGCGUAAAGCGUGCGUAGGUGGUUUGUUAAGUCUGAUGUGAAAGCCCUGGGCUCAACCUGGGAACUGCAUUGGAUACUGGCUUACUAGAGUGCGGUAGAGGGGUGUGGAAUUCCCGGUGUAGCAGUGAAAUGCGUAGAUAUCGGGAGGAACAUCUGUGGCGAAGGCGGACACCCUGGACCAGCACUGACACUGAGGCACGGAAAGCGUGGGGAGCAAACAGG
rnacentral:rRNA from 1 species